CUACGGGUGGCAGCAGUUAGGGAACUUUUACAAUGCACGCAAGUGUGAUAGAGUGAGCCAGAGUGUUUCUCUUAAUAGAGAAACUUUUGUCUGUUGUAAAAAUACAGACGAAUAAGGACUGGGAAAGACCGGUGCCAGCCGCCGCGGUAAUACCGGCGGUCCAAGUCGCAGCCACAAUUAUUGGGUCUAAAACAUCCGUAGCUUGUUUAAUAAGUUUCUUGUGAAAUCUUAUCUCUUAAGGGUAAGGCGUGCAGGAAAUACUGUUAAACUAGAGACCGGAAGAAGUAAGAAGUACAGUUGAGGUAGUGGUAAAAUACGUUAAUCUCGAUUGGACUAACAAUAGCGAAGGCAUCUUACUAGUACGGAUCUGACAGUGAGGGAUGAAGGCUAGGGUCGCAAAACGGAUUAGAUACCCUAGUAGUC
rnacentral:rRNA from 1 species